CUGGUGAACUAGAGAAUGCUGAGUCUGGAGGAGACGGAGGCAGGAGAGGAGGGAAGCAGGAUAACGUUGCCUGGUGGAGGCGGAUGCAGAAGGGGGGACUUCCCCUGGGAUGACGAGGAUUUCCGCAGUCUGGCCCUUUUGGGGGCAGGCGUUGCCAUGGGAUUUUUCUACCUCUAUUUUCGAGAUCCUGGAAGAGAAAUCACGUGGAAGCACUUUGUACAGUAUUACCUGGCCAGAGGUGGACCGGCUGGAAGUCGUGAACAAACAAUCUGUGCGUGUUAUUCCUGCCCCUGGGACCUCUUCUGAAGUCCCCCUUACAUUAAAGGCAGGUCCUCCAUCUUUAAGGUCCACCUGCGCCCACUGAAGCUGGACAAGAGCCUCAAUAAGGACACCCUGGCGAGGAAGCUGGCAGUGCUCACCCCAGGCUUCCCUGACGGGGAUGACUCAGCACUACCCCUCAACAGAGAUGACUUUGAUGACUCUGCCCCUCAGCAGGGCUUACUAAGCACUACCCCUUAACAGGGAUGACUCCGCACUGCCCCUCAACAGGGAUGACUCAGCAGAGAUGACUCAGCACUGUCCCUUAGCAGGGAUGACACAGCAAGGAUGACUCAGCACUGCCCCUCAGCAAGGAUGACUCAGCACUGCCGCUCAACAGACAUGACUCAGGGAUGGCUUAGUACUGCCCCUCAGCAGGGAUGACUCAGCACCGCCUCUCAACAGGGAUGACUCAGCAGGGAUGACUCAGCACCGCCCCUCAACAGGCAUGACUCUGCAGAGAUGACUCAGCACUGUCCCUUAGCAGGGAUGACACAGCAAGGAUGACUCAGCACUGCCCCUCAGCAAGGAUGACUCAGCACUGCCGCUCAACAGGGAUGACUCAGGGAUGGCUUAGUACUGCCCCUCAACAGGGAUGACUCAGCAGGGAUGACUCAGCACCGCCCCUCAACAGGCAUGACUCUGCAGAGAUGACUUAGUACUGCCCCUCAGCAGGGAUGACUCAGUACUGCCCCUCAGCAGGGAUGACUCAGCACUGCCCCUCAACAGGGAUGACUCAGCAGGGAUGACUCAGCACUGUCCCUUAGCAGUGAUGACACAGCAAGGAUGACUCAGCACUGCCCCUCAGCAAGGAUGACUCAGCACUGCCGCUCAACAGACAUGACUCAGGGAUGGCUUAGUACUGCCCCUCAGCAGGGAUGACUCAGCACCGCCCCUCAACAGGGAUGACUCAGCACUGCCCCUCAACAGGGAUGACUCAGCAGGGAUGACUCAGCAGUGUCCCUUAGCAGCGAUGACACAGCAAGGAUGACUCAGCACUGCCCCUCACCAAGGAUGACUCAGCACUGCCGCUCAACAGACAUGACUCAGGGAUGGCUUAGUACUGCCCCUCAGCAGGGAUGACUCAGCAGGGAUGACUCAGCACCACCCCUCAACAGGGAUGACUCAGCAGGGAUGACUCAGCACUGCCCCUCAACAGGGAUGACUGCAGGGAUGACUCAGCACUGCCCCUCAGCAGGGAUGACUCAGCACUGCCCCUCAGCAGGGAUGACUCAGCAGGGAUGACUCAGCACCGCCCCUCAACAGGCAUGACUCUGCAGAGAUGACUCAGCACUGCCCCUCAGCAGGGAUGGCUCAGCAGGGAUGACUCAGCAUUGCCCCUCAACAGGGAUGACUCAGCAGACUCAGCAGGGAUGACUCAGCACUGCCCCUCAACAGACAUGACUCAGCAGGGAUGACUCAGCACCGCCCCUCAGCAAGGAUGACUCAGCAGGGAUGAUUCAGCAGAGAUAACUCGGGGAUGACUCUGAUUGUCCUUCAGCAGGGAUGAGUCUGUUUUGCUCCGAUGGAAGCAUCUGUAGUGUCCAUCAGCAGGUGAAUGGCCAAAGUGGUAUAUACUGUAGUCACAUUCAGCUAUAAAAAGGAAUAAAGUAUCGAUGCAUGCCACAACAUGGGUGAACCUAGAAAAUACUGAUCUAAAUGCAAGAAGCCAGGCACAAAAGGCCACAUAGUAUAUGUUCCCAUUUAUGUGAAAUGUGCAGAAUAAUAAUAAAAAUGUAUAGAAUAGCAAAUCUGUAGGGACAGACAUGAGGUGAGUGGUUGCCAGAAGUGGAAAUGGGAGUUAACUAUAAAUUGCACAGGGUACCUUACAGAGAUGAUGGAAAUGUCCUAAAACUAGAUUAUGGCAAUAGUUGCACUACGUGAUCAGUUUAUUAAAAAUCGUUGAUGUGUGUGUGUAAAAUGGGUGGAUUUUAUGGUUUAUAAAUUAUACCUUAAUAAAGGUUAACAAAAAAUGUGGCU
rnacentral:lncRNA from 1 species